rnacentral:tRNA from 1 species
CGCGGAGAGAAUUGGUAUUCAAUCCAGUCUCAUAAGCUGGACUCCAAGUGUUCGAUUCACUUCUCCGCAAC